AGUGGCUGAAGUGCUCAGCUGCUAACUGAAAGGUCGGCGGUUCGAACCCGCCAGCUACUC
rnacentral:tRNA from 1 species